rnacentral:tmRNA from 1 species
GGGGUUGACUGGUUUUGACAGCGGGCAGAAGUGAUUUGUAAGCAUGCAGUGCGCGGUUGUUCGGCACUUUAAUCCCGGAUAAUAAAAAUUUAGUUGGCGAAAAUAAUUACGCUCUUGCUGCUUAAUCGAAGUAUAGUAGAUUAAAGCUUUAUCCUUUCUCUAGGAGUUAGGACGAGACAUCACCCGGAAGCUGUGGCUUCGAAGCAUUCCGAACCGGUGGUGCAGAUAAAUCGGAGAUAGUUUAGGAGAAGCUUCGGCUCUUGUACGAAAAUUUAGAAGAUAAGCUGUAGAUUGGUGGCUUCGGUCUUGUUUACAGUCGAAAAUAAAACGAAGAUAAGCAUGUAGAAAGCAAGUUAAUUCCUCGUUUGGACGAGGGUUCGACUCCCUCCAGCUCCACAA